rnacentral:lncRNA from 1 species
GCCUUUACUCCUCUCCAAGCUUUGUUGGGGACAUCUCACAUGGGGCAGAUAAUUUUAAAAAAGGUGUUCUGGGUUUUAACUCAGCUCUUACACUCAGCUGCCUAAAAAUGGUGCAGUCACUAAGUGCUUAAUGUGAGCUCUUGAAGGUUGUUUCAGUUAUCCAGUUUGGGAAUGGAAAACAUUUUAGGAAACUAAGCUUUGUUUGGUCAGUGCUUAGAAACUCAGUGCAUUGAGUUGAAACUCUUGAAACUCAAAUUUCGAGAAUGCUUGGAAAACUCAAGCAUUUCUCAAUUAAAUAAUAUUCAGAGUAAAUAAUACUCAGAGUUCCAAACUGAAUAUUCAGUAAAUGAGACAGAAAAAAAAGCCUGAUGCCUUUUUAGUCUUCAUUUGACUAAUUUAAGAGAAAUAGAUAAAAUCAAUGUGAGACAGAGAAUCCACGUGUUGCUGUUACUCUGUAGUGCAUGGCUGCCUUCCCCAAGAAAAAUUCAGUGGAGAAAUUCACACCCUAAGGCCUGUAUUUAUUGCUUGAGGAGCAGGACCCCUCAGCUCCUGGGAGUGCCCAUCCCAGACAAAGACAGCCCACAACCCUUCCUGCCAACGAGUCUCUCAACACCAGAGAACUAUAAUAACACUUCAGGAAAGUGUUGCAUUGCUUAGAGCAGAAAAUGUGAUUCUAGGAGGGAUGUGUAGAAGUAGAAAGGAUGGCUACCAGAUUUUCUGAAUUCAGAAUAUUCAAUGGAGGAUGCAGUGAGAUUUUUUCAGAUCUGCUCAAGUAUACAGAGUACCUCAUUUGGCCCAAGCUGUUGCUCACUUGCUAGGAAAAUGUGAUCUAGUAAAGGCUCCCACUGAUCAGAGGGUGACAGCCCACAGUGAGGGCUCCUCAUCUCCACACCCAGCAGGAGCAGCUCCAGUGAAGUGGGAGGAGCUGAAGAACCAGAAACCACUGUCAGCUGCAGAUGGAUUCACAGAUGGAGAGGAAAGUUGUUUUGAAAGACUGAGUGAAAUGCAGUUUUAAAAAUCAAGGUGUUUCACAGAAAGAUGCCUGAUGGCACACAUUCACUGCCUUGUUCUAUGCAG